AGGCUGCCCCAGCUUCAACCUGUACUUCUUUUUCCAUUUGACAUUAUCUGGUUUCAGCUUCCAGUCACAGGCUCUUGUCAUGACUUGUCUGCUAGAUUAAAGAACUUUAUCCUGCCAGAAAUCUUCUCUUGAGGACCUCCUGGUGUCUUCAUCUGAACCCCAUGCUGUUGCCUGAGAAACCAAAAUGCACAAGUCACAUGAUAUUGCCAUCAACCACCAUGUCUGGAGACCCCCAAAACAAGAGCAAGUAUCUCCAGCCAAUUUAUACAGCCCAAUUUAAAAGCAGUAUUGUGACAGUAAACAUGUAUCUCGCUCCUACUGUGCUCACAGUGCACACAAAUAAUAAAUAGAUGAGAAGUCCAGAGACAGAAGCAACUGGAAUAUUAACAGAGGACAGACUUUAAUUUACAUGUAAAUGCAACUUCUGAUCAUUAUUCAACUGGAAGGUCCAAGACAAGCCCCACACACUUUCUUUUCAAAGAGAACAGUGCUGUGUAAAACCACCAGCUUUCAUCACCAAAAUUAAAACCUUCCCUACAGCAAAGCCCAGUAGUUCUGCACAAAUCUGCUGGUCUCCUUAAAUUUACCCACAAGAUUAUCAUCUUUCAAGUAAUCCUGCAGCAAAGUAAGCUGGGUAAAACAACUGGGAGCUGACAGUUGAAACUUGGAGAGACAGGAAGCAGGGAAGAAGGCUGGAUGGUGAUUUGUGACACCAGACAAGUUGGGUCAGAUCCUGAGAUGGAGUAAAAUGCAUUAGGGCUCAGGGCAGUAUUAACUGGGUGCUGAGAGCAUGUGGGAUCCCUAUUGUCUCUGACUGCUUUGGAGCAAAGAGGCCCCUUCCUUCACAAGAAAAGUCAAGACCAGCAAAGCUGCCUUAGAGAGAACUUUCAGAUUUCAAAUAUUCAGCAACACACCCAACCAUUCAGUGCCCUCUGCAAUUUUCCUCCCUUCAGCACCUUU